UCUGUGUUCCAUAAGAAUGCAGGGUCAGGGUGUCUGUCAGAGCUAUGGUGGUCUGUGUGAUGAUGUUUAACAGUGAGAUGCCACUGCUGCCUGGGUUGGUGUUUGCAUCUUUCCUUGUCUACACAAGGCAACCAGUGACUGCAUUUACAGCACCAGUGCCACGCGGUCAACACUGCCUGAAGUGGCAGCUUCUGCUCUGUCCCUGAACAUACAGGUUCCCAGGAACAUCUGACUCCUGCCAGCAUUGAAGUACAAGAAUCAGCAAAGGCCUUAGCUCUGUGUAAGCUCUGCUCAGCAGUAAGGAAAAUAUCUCUAUGUGAUCAACCCUGUGUUCAGCACAAAUCCAAAGCACAGCUCCUCACCAGGCACUGGGAAUACAACGACACCAGGAGUUUUGCUGGUGAAAAGCAACAUAUCAGAGCAAUUCUGACAUGCUGGAGAGCUCAAUGCAAACUCUCAUCCCCCUCUGGACUUUCCACCUCAAUUUCCCUGCCUAUGGAAGUAGCAUGCAUCUGGCUUUGCAAAGCACCCUGUCCUCUCAUCUGGGAAGGGACAUGCUACCAGAAAUGUGCAGGAUUCCCAUCACCUAUACGCCCUCACUCUACCCUGCCCACGUGAGUCUUUGUAACAGCCUGCCUGCUUCCCCAAAUGGUUCAACACCCACCAAUAUUUCAAGUGGAUGUUACCAAGUGAAAUGAACACCAGUUCGCAGUAUCCUGCUUUGUCUGAGGAAACAGAUCCAGGCAUGUGAAGCCAUCUGCUCUUGUAGGGUUGCCAUCCUCAUAUUUCUCUGUACUAUGUGCA